rnacentral:rRNA from 1 species
AUGAACGCUGGCGGCGUGCCUAAUCCAUGCAGGUCGAGCGAACGGACGAGAAGCUUGCUUUUCUGAUGUUAGCGGCGGACGGGUGAGUAACACGUGGAUAACCUACCUAUAAGACUGGGCUAACUUCGGGAAACCGUAGCUAAUACCGGAUAAUAUUUUGAACAGCAUGGUUCAAAAGUGAAAGACGGUCUUGCUGUCACUUAUAGAUGGAUCCGCGCUGCAUUAGCUAGUUGGUAAGGUAACGGCUUACCAAGGCAACGAUGCAUAGCCGGCCUGGGAGGGUGAUCAGCCACACUGGAACUGAGACACGGUCCAGACUCCUACGGGAGGCAGCAGUAGGGAAUCUUGCGCAAUGGGCGAAAGCCUGACGGAGCAACGCCGCGUGAGUGAUGAAGGUCUUCGGAUCGUAAAACUCUGUUAUUAGGGAAGAACAUAUGUGUAAGUAACUGUGCACAUCUUGACGGUACCGAAUCAGAAAGCAACGGCUAACUACGUG